rnacentral:rRNA from 1 species
AACGAACGCUGGCGGCAGGCCUAACACAUGCAAGUCGAGCGAACCCUUCGGGGUUAGCGGCGGACGGGUGAGUAACGCGUGGGAACGUGCCCUUUGCUACGGAAUAGCCCCCGGGAAACUGGGAGUAAUACCGUAUGUGCCCUUCGGGGGAAAGAUUUAUCGGCAAAGGAUCGGCCCGCGUUGGAUUAGGUAGUUGGUGGGGUAAUGGCCUACCAAGCCGACGAUCCAUAGCUGGUUUGAGAGGAUGAUCAGCCACACUGGGACUGAGACACGGCCCAGACUCCUACGGGAGGCAGCAGUGGGGAAUCUUAGACAAUGGGCGCAAGCCUGAUCUAGCCAUGCCGCGUGAUCGAUGAAGGCCUUAGGGUUGUAAAGAUCUUUCAGUGGGGAAGAUAAUGACUGUACCCACAGAAGAACGCCCGGACUAACUCCGUG